rnacentral:lncRNA from 10 species
GUGUGUUCACUGAUCCCUGUGCUUUCUUGGCCUCAGCCCUCAGCCCUGUUUUGUAACUGCCUGUUUACUUGUCUUUCUUCCUUAGAGGGCCAGGCCCUAAAAGCCUAGGAUUAUAGCAAAUUUCUUGCUGUAUCUCCAACUUUCAUCAUGGAUCUUAGAAUACAGUGGCCUUCAAGUAAGUGUUCAUGAGAUGAAUAAAUGAGAAAGAGAGAGAAGACAAAAAGAAACUGAACAACAAAAGGAAAAAGAAAGCUUCAUACAACCCUCGGCACACAGCAGGUGUCCUGAUGACAUAGAACAGGAUGAGUACUGAAACCACAAGGCUAAAAUGAAGGGAGGCAUGAGGGAUGUCAAGGCCCAAGCCACUGAAGCCUGGUGGGUGCUGGCCAGACAUUCUCAGUGCCAUUCAAGUCCCUUCACGUGGUAACUUUCCCACAGCUGAGGGUCAACCAUGAGUGGCCAGCGCUCACAGUUGAUGAGAAUGGUGGCAUUCUCCACGGACAUGCGGUCGGCUGGGAGGCCCUCGUUCUGCCAGGCAGCCACGUCAGCAUCAUCCAUCAGCAUCCUCAGGGGAUCCAGGGCUGGGGUGACUGGAAUGGGAGUCUGGUGAAGAAGAAACACCACCCCACGCUCAGAACAGAAGCAGACAUUCUCAGCUGGGAUGAAUGCAGUUACUCACCAAAUGACACAACUCCUUUAAAAGCAAGAUCAACAUCCCACUGAAGAAUGCCUUUCUGGCUGUGUGAUUAUUUCUGGAAGCAGGUUCUAUUAAAGUCCUGAUAGCUUUUUUUUUUCCCCUCCAUGGAUGAAUAACUGCAGAAAUUCAACUCGUGUGACUGAUUCUUUGUUUUUCGGUAUCUUUACCUAAGUCAAGUUUCUACUAUAUUAUCUGUAUUUUAAUCUACGACCUCCUACACACUCUCACCCAUGUUAACAGUGUUAUUUCUCUGCUAUAUGUCUGUGUUUCUUGUGCACGCUCCAUGAACCAGCACCAGGUCCCAUGCCUAGUGGGUUUGCUCCUGUCUGUACCAACCGGCACAAACCACUCUUUCCUCUCCUCUGUUUCACCAGCUUGCAAGAGGCUGGACGGGUUUUCUUUUUCUCUUCCCCAAACACCCCAUUCACUUGCAGGACUCUUGCAAACCUGCCUGCUGGUGCCUGUGGGGAAGCUGCCGAGUAUUUAUCAGUCUGAGAACUUGCCUGUGGCCUCUCUUAGGCCCCUUCAGGGCUCCUGUGUGUGCCCUAGACACUGCCUUUUCUUCUUUGUUAGCCUUUCUCUGCUCACUCAGUUCUUUUUUUUUUUUUUUGAGAUGGAAUCUUGCUCUGUCACACAGGCUGGAGUGCAAUGGCGUCAUCUCAGCUCCAUGCAAACUCCACCUCCCGGGUUCAAGUGAUUCUCCUGCCUCAGCCUCCCAGGUGGCUGGGAUUACAGGUGCCUGCCACCACACCCAGCUAAUUUUUGUGUUUUUAGUAGAGACGAGGUUUCACCAUGUUGGACAGGCUGGUCUCGAACUCCUGACCUCAGGCGAUCCACCUGCUUCGGCCUCCCAAAAUACUGGGAUUACAGGCGUGACCCACCACGCCGGGCUCACUUAAUUUUUUUUACAGGCAAUCUUUUUCAUUGAUGACCCAUAUAUAUUUUUUUAAAUUAAGGUAACAUUGAUAUGAAAUAAAUUAAUCAUUUUAAAGUGCACAAUUCAGUGGCAUUUAGU